AAAGAGGGAGAGAAAUUCAAAGUGAUCACAGGAGACACCAUUUCAAGAUCACUAAGAAAAACACAACAUCUUACAAAAAAAUAACAGGUUUCCUUUAAUAAUAUCUGGAACAUGAUAUCAUGGUUGUUGUUUUUUUUUGUUUUUUUCUUCAACAUGUCCUGCUUGUAACAUCUUCAUUAGUAUGCUUUUUGUUUCCAUAAACAUUGAAUUGAUAACAUUAAACUGUGACACAAACUGCAUGGUACUAUUGCACACAUACAUCGAGUAGGGCACAAAUGGUGUAGCAGCAAUAAACGUAUCAGUGUUAUACACAUUACAAUCAAUUCUAAUUAUAGUAGUCUGUAACUUGGGAGUAUAGUUGAAAUGAAUUACAAGACAUUCUAAAGUAUCCUCUACAUCAUACACAAGAUUGUGUUCGGCUAUAUGACAUCGUUAAGUCAUCGUUAUGUACUUUCAGUCAGGGUCUACCUGCUAUAGCUAAGUACUAAGACACUGGGGGCUAGAAUAGAUCUACAUGUACAGUAUUCAGUAUAUAGGGUCCACUUUCAUAGGUCUACAACACAUUGGCUUAGGGAAGACUAGGUUCGUGCAGACAAGAGCAACCAGGACAUUCAUAUUGGAAAUGUCAUGGACAUCAGUAGUAUAUUAUUGCAUGAAUGGAGCUCAAUUAGCAUUUAAUCAUCCCUUCUACUCUUCACUUUCUUUUCUUUGGGCCAACACUCAGUGACACAAUUAUGCUUUGCUAAAUAUAUCACAGGGGUUUUGAACUGGUUUUCAUCGGCCAUCAUUCACAGGGGAGGAGCUCACGGAAGCUUCUAGUUUUAGGGAGGGGUGAGGGGAUGAAUACUCAAUAGGGCGGCACAGUGUUUGGUCUAACUUCACAAGGGACCAGCCUCAGAGCUGGAAUUCAAACCCACUUUUAACAUACAGCUCACAAGUCCCUCAGCCGUGUCUGUUAACAGGCCGACUUCAGGAAGAACACUGAUAUGACGUCAGAUACUUUCCUCCCUUUAUUUUGGACAGGAAUGUGCUACUUCAGCUUACUCAUAGGCAAAUCUCAAUCUCAUACUUAGUAGCUUAAUGAAAAUAUGCGUUGUUUUAUUAUCCUUUUGAAAUAAAAGGGCAGUAUAAAAAGGAAUGUCAGUGAAAUGAACACUUGGAAUGUGCUGCUCAUUCUGGACUUUUGACAUUAUAAGGGUUCUAGAGAGGUAGAGCAUAGAUGAUAAGAAAAAAUGAAGACAUUUUCAUUAAUCAAAUGUAGUGUUAUAGGGUUCCUGCAGUUUUCUUACUCUACACAGCUCUUUGCAUCCCUUAUAGGGAGAGCCCACCUCCCUGAUUCAGACAGAGCCCACCUCCCUGAUUCAGACAGAACACAUCUCCUUGAUUCAGCAGUGACCACCUCCCUGAUUCAGACAGAACACAUCUCCCUGAUUCAGCAGUGCCCACCUACCUGAUUCAGACAGAACACAUCUCCUUGAUUCAGACAGAGCCCACCUCCCUGAUUCAGCAGUGCCUGGCUCCCUGAUUCAACCUGAUGGCUACCCAAAGUAAAUAGACCUGUAACUGUAUCUGUAGCCUGCCAUGCUAAUGGACAAGCUGUUUAAACACUGAUCAUUUCUGAAACAGUCAUGGACCACGGUUAUGGACCAAGUCACAUUUCAACAGCAACAAAAUCUAUUGGCGUAGGAGAUGUGUAUGAUUCUAUCAGAAAUAAAUACAAUCCAGACACUUCUGCCAUAAUUGCUUCAACAUAAACAGCAUAAAUACCAUUAAUGUAUGUAUUAGCUCAGGUUAUUCUAAGUGCCGUAGAUUUUUUCUAGUGAUUCGUUUUAGCUACACUUUAUGAUGUUUAUUAUGUCCUAUUUUAUGGCUACCGCGAACUCUCUCCCUGUUUUAAAUUCAACACAGUUGGCUAUAUGUUUGGCCACCUCAUGUGUGUACAGUGGUAUUACUUGGCCACCCAGCACAGCUCUUUAUGUAGACGGAUUAAGGAUAAGCAAAAACAAAACAAAGAAACAUUCCACAAUAUAGAACUAUGAAGUACACAAAAUGAUGGCCACAUAAAACAAAGUAUGCAAAUAAAAUAAAAUAGAAAAAAAGUAGAAAAAACAUGGAUAUUUUUACUAUUUAUAUUGCAUGUACAAGAAAAGCUUAUAGACACCUGCAUGGAUUUCUAAUUGGAAAUGUGUGUAUGUAUGUAUGUGUGUGUGUGUGUGUGUGUGUGAAUCAGAGGUCAUUGGCAGCCUAACUCUAUGAAGAAAAGGGUCCUAUUUGUGUCCUUGAGUCUCGAAGCACAUGAUGACCUUUGUAAUGUUUCGAAGCCUAUUUGAAUGUAAAUUUGAUUUGUGGAUUCAAAUAAAGCAUUUAAAAUGUGUGUGUGUGUGUGUGUGUGUGUGGGUGUGAACCCAUGGACCGUAGCCAGACCUCAUUAUUGUAAUUCUCCUCACUGGCCCACUAGUGUGAACAGCCCUUUCACUUCGGCCCGGAGAAAUGGAGACAAAAAAACAAAUACAACAAAUGACAAAACCCCCCUGAGUGGUCCGGCCUGUGACCAUAUGCUAACGGGGCAGAAAAACCCAUCUGAGCACUCCACAGACCAGUCAGUCCUGCUAUUCAACUCACCCAGCUAUUGGUCCAUGAGUGUACAGCCUGAUGGCUUAUUACAACCUAACAAAUGGCCGGUACUGCAUGCGCGCGUGUCUUUUCUUAGCAAGACCAUGGAAUCGUUCUCCUAACCGAGACAACCCCCACCAUAUGAAGAUAACCCUCGUUGUCUAUUUUUUUUGUUUUUUGAAAAAACGGUUCUACUGCAGUUUUACGAGCGACACUGACCCGUCAUGUCUCAGGGAAAGACAAGCAGAGAUGUUCCCUCUGAUCUGUGAUCCGUGUCUUUAGUCUCUUCGUCUCCCAGUCCUACAGAC
ensembl:lncRNA